UAUUCCACACGACCCCAGGUCAGGCGGGAUUACCCGCUGAGUUUA
rnacentral:rRNA from 1 species